AGAGGCAUUACUGGUGGUGCGUUG
rnacentral:siRNA from 1 species